AUGUCGACUUGGAGGUUGUGCCCUUGAGGCGUGGCUUCCGGAGCUAACGCGUUAAGUCGACCGCCUGGGGAGUACGGCCGCAAGGUUAAAACUCAAAUGAAAUUGACGGGGGCCCGCACAAGCGGUGGAGCAUGUGGUUUAAUUCGAUGCAACGCGAAGAACCUUACCUGGUCUUGACAUCCACAGAACUUUCCAGAGAUGGAUUGGUGCUUCGGGAACUGUGAGACAGGUGCUGCAUGGCUGUCGUCAGCUCGUGUUGUGAAAUGUUGGGUUAAGUCCAGCAACGAGCGCAACCCUUAUCCUUUGUUGCCAGCGGUCCGGCCGGGAACUCAAAGGAGACUGCCAGUGAUAAACUGGAGGAAGGUGGGGAUGACGUCAAGUCAUCAUGGCCCUUACGACCAGGGCUACACACGUGCUACAAUGGCGCAUACAAAGAGAAGCGACCUCGCGAGAGCAAGCGGACCUCAUAAAGUGCGUCGUAGUCC
rnacentral:rRNA from 1 species